ACGCUCGACACCUACGGGAGGCAGCAGUAGGGAAUCUUCCACAAUGGACGCAAGUCUGAUGGAGCAACGCCGCGUGAGUGAAGAAGGUCUUCGGAUCGUAAAACUCUGUUGUUAGAGAAGAACACGAGUGAGAGUAACUGUUCAUUCGAUGACGGUAUCUAACCAGCAAGUCACGGCUAACUACGUGCCAGUAGCCGCGGUAAUCUGAGCGGGCUGGCAAGGC
rnacentral:rRNA from 1 species